UGUGUGUGUGUGUGUGUGUGUGUGUGUGUGAUCAGCCUGAGUUGGUGUGAAGUGUGUGGGUGUGGGUGUUUUCAGCCACAAUGAUGUUGUGCUUGAUCUUAUUGGACCACAGCUAUAUUGUAUUAAUACAAGACAUUAUAUUCUAGAUAUUAAAUGGUACCUGCUGGAACUUUCCAAUGGUCAUUUUCUGAGUUCCAUAGUGAUGUUUGUGGAAUUGACCAGUAAAUAUAUUCCCCCUUAGUAAUGGCUACUGUGGUCAGUGACACCUUGGUCAUAUUUUCCUUUGAGCUGCAUUGUGACACACAGCAAUACUGCUGUGUGGAAAGCUUCUUUCUUGAGCUCUUUACACCACAGAUAUGAUUUAUACACGCCCCUGUACUUUCUCCGACCAAAUUGUAGGCUGGGGUCUGAAUGUGUAGGGGUGAGAAAGAAAAUAAGUUAUGAAUGUGAAAGUGUAAUGUUAGCCAGACUCUCUCCAGUCAGCACUUAGCGUCACAAUGAAACUGCUCUACGCACUCUUCUUCUGUAUGUUCUCCUGCCUCUGUGUCAGUGAAGCAUUGACUUGGCCCAGCUUUUGUUGCUUGAAAACAAAUUCGAUUGAAAGACUACCUGUAAAAAAUGUUGCAGAAUGUAAAGUACAGAGCAGUGGACUUUGCCCAAUUGAUGCAAUCAUUAUCAAGACACAUAAAGGCCGGAUGAACUGUUAUGAUCCUAAGGCAGAGUGGGUUGUUAAAAAUGUUGUAAUGAAGGAAACCAACUCUUGUGACAUCACAAUUAAGAAGAGAGGAAAAGGACAAAAGAGAAAACAGGGAAGAGAAAAAUGAGUAACAGGAAGAGAAAAAUAAAGAAGCUGAACUUAAAAGCAGUAAAACGGGGUUUAUCUAAAGAAUAGUAAAACAUUGAACUACAGUGUUUGAUUUGGAUGGCCUGGAUUUAACAUUUAUUAAUAACUUGUCUUUUUCCCUACUUCAAACAAUUUAGUUUUCUGAAUGUGAAAAGAAAGAAUGCACAAUACCUAUACAUACCUUUUUUAAAUACUCGUGGAUCUUAAAGGGUUGUAAUAUUUUCUGUUAAAACACAUUCUUUCCUGUGUUAUGUAAAUAUAUUGUUUUCAAUUUACAUGUAUCAAUUAUAUAAGUCAAUAACUAAAAAUAUCCACAUUUCCUUUUUAUAUUUUUCAUGUUCAUUACUGACACACUUUAAACAGUCUGAUGUAAUAUUUGAUCAAUAAUCCAAAAUAUUUAGUUUUUU